rnacentral:lncRNA from 1 species
AUGCUGGAGCCUGCUGGGGACAUUGGCUGGAAAGUCCUCCUCAGAGCAAUCACAGAGUUUGAAGAUUUGGCUGUGUCUUGGCCAGUGCUCUCAAAAGGAAAAUGUGAAAAAAGUGUAAUAAAAGGACUCUGUUUAAAUCCACAGAAGCUGAGAUCCAGCCCAAAGCAAGGCAGCAUGAAAAUAAGAAUAAUUCCUUUCAGAAAUAAUUAUUUCAUGGAGAUCAGAUGUGACACCCUGGUCCUGUUGGCACCAGUGACAAAAUGAUCUGUGGCUUCAAAUGACUCAAAACAUAGAAUCCUGGAAUCACAAAAACAGACUUUCUGGAGCCUGUGCUGGACCAAAUGCAUUGUGUUUGCUAGAUGCUAAUGGCCCUGUCUCCUGUGAAUUUCUCCAGUCCUUUCUGGAAAUGACUUUAACUUUCGGUUUUCAGAACAUUAUGUGGCGCUGUCCCACAAUUUAAUCAUGCUGUAAUAAUAGUAAUUGUAGUCAGUGCCUAUAAUUAAUUGUUAUAGCGUAUUGUUAUAUUGUUAUAAUUAUAUACAUAGUUAAUUGUUAUUGCUAAUCAUUACAAUUAAUAUCUACAAACUAUCAUAGAAAUUUCUUAUUCAUUCUCUGUGUACUAUUAAUGACUCAUAGAUUGGAGUUACAUGUAUUGUUGUAACUACUCAUAUUUCUUCCUUAUAAAACAGUUUUCUGAGACAUUAUAUGCCUGCCUUUCUUCAGAAAGUCCUUUCCAAGCUGAAAAAUCUUAGUUUAUUUGUCUCUUUUCCUAUAUACAUAAGAGCUCCAUAUCCUCGACCAUUUGCAGUAGCUUUUUCCCACUUAGCCUGUCUGCUGUGGGAUGAUCAAAGCUGUAUAUAUUUUUCAAGGAAUGAGCAAACUCUGUAUUUACUUGAUGACAUUGUUUUGAUUUCUUUUCUUUUCUUUGUUUCCUGCUAAAUGUGCUGUGCUUUUGCUUAUUUUUGACUACUGAUAAAUAUAGUCACUACGUUUUCAUAAAACUUUCCACAAUGACUAUUUCUUGAUUUCUUUCUUGAGUAGUAGCU